rnacentral:rRNA from 1 species
CGAUCUCCUGGCUCAGGACGAACGCUGGCGGCGUGCUUAACACAUGCAAGUCGAACGGAAAGGCCCUGCUUUUGUGGGGUGCUCGAGUGGCGAACGGGUGAGUAACACGUGAGUAACCUGCCCUUGACUUUGGGAUAACUUCAGGAAACUGGGGCUAAUACCGGAUAGGAGCUCCUGCUGCAUGGUGGGGGUUGGAAAGUUUCGGCGGUUGGGGAUGGACUCGCGGCUUAUCAGCUUGUUGGUGGGGUAGUGGCUUACCAAGGCUUUGACGGGUAGCCGGCCUGAGAGGGUGACCGGCCACAUUGGGACUGAGAUACGGCCCAGACUCCUACGGGAGGCAGCAGUGGGAAUAUUGCACAAUGGGCGGAAGCCUGAUGCAGCAACGCCGCGUGCGGGAUGACGGCCUUCGGGUUGUAAACCGCUUUCGCCUGUGACGAAGCGUGAGUGACGGUAAUGGGUAAAGAAGCACCGGCUAACUACGUGCCAGCAGCCGCGGUGAUACGUAGGGUGCGAGCGUUGUCCGGAUUUAUUGGGCGUAAAGGGCUCGUAGGUGGUUGAUCGCGUCGGAAGUGUAAUCUUGGGGCUUAACCCUGAGCGUGCUUUCGAUACGGGUUGACUUGAGGAAGGUAGGGGAGAAUGGAAUUCCUGGUGGAGCGGUGGAAUGCGCAGAUAUCAGGAGGAACACCAGUGGCGAAGGCGGUUCUCUGGGCCUUUCCUGACGCUGAGGAGCGAAAGCGUGGGGAGCGAACAGGCUUAGAUACCCUGGUAGUCCACGCUGUAAACGGUGGGUACUAGGUGUGGGGUCCAUUCCACGGGUUCCGCGCCGUAGCUAACGCUUUAAGUACCCCGCCUGGGGAGUACGGCCGCAAGGCUAAAACUCAAAGGAAUUGACGGGGCCCCGCACAAGCGGCGGAGCAUGCGGAUUAAUUCGAUGCAACGCGAAGAACCUUACCAAGGCUUGACAGAUCGGAAGAGCACACGUCUGAACUCCAGUCACGCAGUCCAUCU